GUCGAGAAUAAUUCACAAUGGGGGAAACCCUGAUGGUGCAACGCCGCGUGGAGGAUGAAGGUCUUCGGAUUGUAAACUCCUGUCAUCUGGGAGUAAGACCUGACGGUGAAUAGCCGGCAGGGUUGAUAGUACCAGAAGAGGAAGGGACGGCUAACUUCGUGCCAGCAGCCGCGGUAAUACGAAGGUCCCAAGCGUUGUUCGGAAUCACUGGGCGUAAAGGGAGCGUAGGCGGCGUGGUAAGUCAGAUGUGAAAUCCCGGGGCUCAACCCCGGAACUGCAUCCGAUACUGCCAUGCUUGAGGGUUGGAGAGGUAGCUGGAAUUCUCGGUGUAGCAGUGAAAUGCGUGGAUAUCGAGAGGAACACUCGUGGCGAAGGCGAGCUACUGGACAACAUCUGACGCUGAGGCUCGAAGGCCAGGGGAGCAAAAGGGAUUAGAAACCCGUGUAGUCC
rnacentral:rRNA from 1 species